rnacentral:rRNA from 1 species
ACUCAAAUGAAUUGACGGGGACCCGCACAAGCGGUGGAUGAUGUGGUUCAAUUCGAUGCAACGCGAAAAACCUUACCUACCCUUGACAUGUCGCGAAUCUCGCAGAAAUGUGAGAGUGCCCGCAAGGGAGCGCGAACACAGGUGCUGCAUGGCUGUCGUCAGCUCGUGUCGUGAGAUGUAGUGGUUAAGUCCCGCAACGAGCGCAACCCUUGCUAUUAGUUGCUACAUUUAGUUGAGCACUCUAAUGGGACUGCCGGUGACGAAUCGGAGGAAGGUGGGGAUGACGUCAAGUCCUCAUGGCCUUUAUGGGUAGGGCCACACACGUCAUACAAUGGCCGGUACAGAGGGUCGCCAACCCGCGAGGGGGAGCCAAUCUCUAAAAAGCCGGUCGUAGUCCGGAUUGUAGUCUGCAACUCGACUACAUGAAGUCGGAAUCGCUAGUAAUCGCGGAUCAGCAUGUCGCGGUGAAUACGUUCCCGGGUCUUGUACACACCGCCCGU